rnacentral:lncRNA from 1 species
UAAAUAGGUGUUAGAUUGCAUUUAAUUGAAGUGUGGUUAUCUAACCCCAAUUUUACAGAUGGGAACAGCAAGGCAGAACACCUAAGCUUGCAUUUGACAGGCAUGGAUUUCUGUGGACGAGGAGAGCCUGGCAUCUCCCAGGUUGCUGUGGUUGUCCACACCAUUAUUCCUGCCUCCCUCAGUCCCCUCCCUACUCGGCUCAGGCUCCCUGAAGGAGGUUGCAUGCAAAUGUCAGAACCACCAUUCAUCCCCAGGCCUGCGUUGUACCAAAGAUUGUCAACACCACUGUCCUGCAGGGGUAUGUGAUCUGCCAGAGGGUCAAGAGGGUGAGGGUGAAGAGAGAUACACAUGACACCAGGACAGCCUCCAAAUGAGAAUUUAUUCUUUUGCCAUCGUUGAGCCGCUGCUACUGCACACCAGGUGCUGCACUAAUGCAUGGCCUCUGCCUUCAAGGAGUUUGCAGUAUAACCAGGUCAGUGAAGACACAUUGAUGAGUGCUGGCCAGAGUGGGUGCAGGACACAGAAAGGAGGUGGGAUGGGGGGCACAGAAGGAGUAGGUAAGCCCAGACCAAGGCUGGCUUUGGAUAGAAAUUAUCCCACAGCUCAGAAGCAUGACCAGCUCUAGAUGCCAGGGACUGUGGGUGCACAUCAUAGCAUAUAGAAGAUGUCUCCCUGUCCCAAGCCUGCAGCAUCAAAUCCUGCCUAAAUACAUCUCUCUCUCUCUCUCUCACACACACACACACACACACACACACACACACACACACACACACACACACAGUGGAAUCCUGGUGGAUGCUUCAGCCUCAGCUUUCCCCAGUUCCCUGGGACUCCUCUUCCCUCCCACUCCUGGCACCUUAUUCUUCAGCCGGGCUGAGCUGCCAGGAGAUAGUUGAGGACAAGAGCCCAAGGAAGGACUCUCAGAAGCAGACCUUUCCUUCCAUACCCCUGCAGUCCCUCUAACCCACCACCCUGCAGGUCUUUCAGAGCUUUCUAGGCCACAACUGCAAAGAGAGUCUGGGCCCGCACCCUCUGCAUUCGGGCUGAGGUCUCAUGGCGCAUGAGUGUCCAGAGCUCAACCAAACCCUCCUCGUGGACAGAGUUGGUGCCAGGCUUGGCAGAGCUCCUUGGCUUGGCUUCCUUGGCUCCUGUAGGUGGAAGGCCCCUGAGCAAUUGUGGUUCCUUCUGGGUAUCUCAGCCAACCCGGAACUUCAGCCACAGCACCAGCACCCACAGGUAGCAAUUGUGAAAAAGUAAGGCCCUGUGAUGUCACACUCUAACAUUAGUGCUGAGCAAUUACCCACACAAGAUUCAGGCUGGGACUGGAGCAAACCUGCACUGCAGCACUGUGUGCCAAGGAGCGUGGUGGCUGGUGACCACCAGAAGACCCCCAUCCCACUGGGAGGCGCAGCUCCCACCAUGGCCUAGGGGCUGCAGGCUUCCACAGAGAACGCUGGAUGUGGCGCCCGAGCUCAUCUGCAGGUGGAGGGUGUUUGGGCAGCAUCCUGUUAGAGCCCACAGGGUUGGCUAUGAAAGUUCCUGCAGCAUGAAACAUGGUCUUCCAAGACAAGUCUUUCCCGUUGGGAUCUCCUGGGCACAAGGAUGCUUGCCCAUGGUAUUCACAGAAGAGUGGCAGUAUAAUGCAGUGUUAGGUGCCCAGGCUUGAGAGAAGACCAGGCUCAAAGUGUAGCUUUUUCUUUUAACUAGGUAACCUUCCAUCUGUCCUUUACAUUUGUGCAUCUCACCGUGCUGAUCUGUAAAAGAGGGAUAAUGACAACCCAGCAGUGAUGCCUCCAAGCCAUGUGAGGAUCCAGCUUCUCUCCCACCUCUGGAUCUCUGGUGACCGCAGCUCAGCCCUGGGCCCCGCUACUGGCCCAAGGAAGACCCACACAUCUUGGAUCACGCACCUCAGGUCAGGGAGGCUUUCAAGGACUUGUGGGAGGUGAUGGUGAGGAGUGACCAGCCUGUUAGUCUUAAUAUAGUCCUAAGAAAAGUUGCUCAGAGGGCUUCUUUCAAAAAUAGAAGGAUUUGAUUGAGUCCUGGCUUCUGGGGUGUAUAGAUAGUCUCAUUCUUAUUAUAUCACUUGGAUUGAUUUGCAGAUUAAUACCAGUUUUGGAAAAACUGCCAGCCUGUAGUACUAGACACAGGAGACAGAGAUAUCAUAUACCAAUGUCCACAGCCUGUGCUUCUGCCUUUCCGGUGGAUUCUGUUCUGUUAUGGGUGGCAGUGGGAGGCCAGGACUGGACAGGGAAGGCCUACAGCUCACCCUGGCAACUUUCUUUCCUAACAAGAUCUCGCUGUGGCCAGGAAGUGUGCAUUCACUUGUCGAAUCUUCUCCACAACUCUGGGAGUUCCCACUAUUAUUACCCCCACUUAAGAGAAUAGGAAAAUUGAGCGUCAGAGAGGUUCACUACCUUGCAAGUAUGCAACAGAGCCAAGAUUUGAGCAGAAGUGUGUCUAAAUGCUGUGGCCAGUAAGGGUUUUUUGUACACCUGGGUGAGGUGGGGGUGGGCUGGGCAUCUGGGGUGUUGAGUGCUUUCAGGGAGGAGACACUGCGACUGGGGAUGGACUGGGGAGAGGGGAUGGUAACAGCACAUGUGAGAUGGUAAUCCACUCAUUCAGUUAUUCCUGAGCACCUGCUAUGUCCAGGCACCAUGGAUCUCAAAAUAAAACACAGUACCUUUCCUCAAAUAGGGCAGCAGGAACAGACACAAGUGCUAUGGGACUCUUUGUACACACUGCGAUGCUCACAGGAGACCCAUCCACUGCAGUUUUCAGAGACCCCCUGGUGCCUCUAGGGCCUAAUCCUAUGCCACGUCUGUGAUGUCUCCAAUUCACUGUACAUACUGCAUGGAGGAUCUUUUUGACGCACUGCUUUCUGGAUAAUAUCUGAACUCCCUUAGCACCCACGAGGGACAGGUCUGUGGGUGCCUCUUCUGCGUCACUGGUCACCCUUCCCACCCGGCUCCCCUCUGUGUCCCCUUUUCCUCUAGGUUCCAGCCAGGUAGGGCCCUGGGGAGGCAGUUGAACAAGCAUCCUUACUUUCUACCACUGUGCCCUCAGACACACGGUGCCCUCCCUGGAAUGCCCUUCCCAUGUCCAGCUGACCUGGCAGUGGGAAGUGACCACCUAAUGAAGUCUUCUCUGAUCUCCUGCCCGUAACACCAAUGCCCCUAUGGCACACACCUGGCAGAGAAGCAAAUCCCAAUGCCCCCACGUAUCCGGCUGACUUGGCCAAUGCCCGUCUCUCUAGGUGCUUCUCACCAUUGCCCAUGUCCACCAGUUACACAAGUCUUCUCCAGCGUCAGCUCUCUGCCUUCUCAGCAACUGCACACUUUCUGUUCUCUCUGCCUGGGAUGUUUUUUCCUGGGGAUACCACACUUUGAUUUUUCAGGUUCCAGCUUCCUGCACAAGAGAGACUAUCCCUGACCACCCUAUUUAAAAUGCAGGCUCCUUUUCUUUCUUCUUGAUCUCUGCACACUGCUUGGUUUUCUCAUUAUACCAGCACAAUUGCAAUAAUUUUGUGGAGGUCUUUGUGUACUUCAUCCUUCUGCCUCCCGGCACUUUCCACUGCAUUGAGGGAGGAGACCUUGCCAAUGAUGCUCCUAAUUGUAUUUCUGGCCUUUGAAAAAUAGUGCUUAAUAAAUAUUCAAUGAAGAGAUGGUGACUGUGUGGGUGUAGACAUAUGAAAGAACUCUGUUAAUAUGUGUGGAUUACACUCUAUGUAAAUGACAUUUUAAUAAAAAGUAGAUACCAAAUGUAUUGGCUAUUUGAAAGAACAGCUGGAGCAUGA